ACUAAAUACGGGUGGCUUCCUGUCUGACAGGAAGCCACUGCACACGAAACAGAACGCGCUGCUAUCAGCCCUGUUUCGUAUGCAGAGUUACAGACGCACAGAACAACUGGAAUCGCAUGAACCCCAUUCUCAUUACUAAGCUGCAGCGCAAACUGGGCUACACUUUUACUC
rfam:Pantoea sp. PSNIH1, complete genome.